rnacentral:rRNA from 1 species
CGUAGGGGGCGAGCGUUGUCCGGAUUUAUUGGGCGUAAAGAGCGCGUAGGCGGCUUGCCAAGUCGUGCGUGAAAUACCCCGGCUCAACCGGGGGGGUCGUGCGAUACUGGUAGGCUUGAGGCCGGCAGGGGGAAGCGGAAUUCCCGGUGUAGUGGUGGAAUGCGUAGAUAUCGGGAGGAACACCAGUGGCGAAGGCGGCUUCCUGGACCGGUCCUGACGCUGAGGCGCGAAAGCGUGGGGAGCGAACUGAAUU